AACGUACGCUGGCGGCACGCUUAACACAUGCAAGUCGAACGAAGUAGCAAUACUUAGUGGCAGACGGGUGAGUAACAUGUGGGUAUCUGCCCUUUGGCCUGGAAUAACACGAGGAAACUUGUGCUAAUACCGGAUAAGUCUUUACGGAGAAAGCUUUAUGCACCAUUGGAUGAGCCCGCACUUGAUUAGUUUGUUGGUGGGGUAAUGGCCUACCAAGACUGUGAUCAAUAGCUGAUUUGAGAGGAUGAUCAGCCACAUUGGGACUGAGACACGGCCCAAACUCCUACGGGAGGCAGCAGUGGGGAAUCUUGCACAAUGGAGGAAACUCUGAUGCAGCGAUGCCGCGUGAGUGAAGAAGGCCCUUGGGUUGUAAAGCUCUUUCGUCGGGGAAGAAAAUGACUGUACCCGAAUAAGAAGGUCCGGCUAACUUCGUGCCAGCAGCCGCGGUAAUACGAAGGGACCUAGCGUAGUUCGGAAUUACUGGGCUUAAAGAGUUCGUAGGUGGUUGAAAAAGUUAGUGGUGAAAUCCCAGAGCUUAACUCUGGAACUGCCAUUAAAACUUUUCAGCUAGAGUAUGAUAGAGGAAAGCAGAAUUUCUAGUGUAGAGGUGAAAUUCGUAGAUAUUAGAAAGAAUACCAAUUGCGAAGGCAGCUUUCUGGAUCAUUACUGACACUGAGGAACGAAAGCAUGGGUAGCGAAGAGGAUUAGAUACCCUCGUAGUCCAUGCCGUAAACGAUGUGUGUUAGACGUUGGAAAUUUAUUUUCAGUGUCGCAGCGAAAGCGAUAAACACACCGCCUGGGGAGUACGACCGCAAGGUUAAAACUCAAAUGAAUUGACGGGGACCCGCACAAGUAGUGGAGCAUGUGGUUUAAUUCGAAGAUACGCGCAGAACCUUACCAACACUUGACAUGUUCGUCGCGACUCUAAGAGAUUAGAGUUUUCGGUUCGGCCGGACGAAACACAGGUGCUGCAUGGCUGUCGUCAGCUCGUGUCGUGAGAUGUUGGGUUAAGUCCCGCAACGAGCGCAACCCUCACUUUUAGUUGCCAUCAUUAAGUUGGGCACUCUGAAAGAACUGCCAGUGAUAAGCUGGAGGAAGGUGGGGAUGACGUCAAGUCCUCAUGGCCCCUACGUGUUGGGCUACACACGUGCUACAAUGGUAUCUACAACAGGAAGCAAGACUGCGAGGUCAAGCAAAUCCUUAAAAGAUACCUCAGUUCGGAUUGCACUCUGCAACUCGAGUGCAUGAAGCUGGAAUUACUAGUAAUCGUGGAUCAGCGUGCCACGGUGAAUGCGUUCCCGGGUCU
rnacentral:rRNA from 1 species